rnacentral:rRNA from 1 species
UACGGAGGGUGCGAGCGUGUCCGGAUUUAUUGGGUUUAAAGGGUGCGUAGGUGGCUUUAUAAGUCAGUGGUGAAAUACAGCCGCUCAACGGUUGAGGUGCCAUUGAUACUGUAGAGCUUGAAACAAGUGGAGGUUGCCGGAAUGGAUGGUGUAGCGGUGAAAUGCAUAGAUAUCAUCCAGAACACCGAUUGCGAAGGCAGGUGACUACGUUUUAUUUUGACACUGAGGCACGAAAAGCAUGGGGGAGCAAACAGGG